rnacentral:miRNA from 1 species
AAAGCUCUUGGGAAACAAUGUU